AAAGGAAGUCGGGCUGGCACAGCAGAAGCCAGCGCCAUCUUGUAAUGGUGAAUGCUAUCGCGGCUUUCCACACUGUACCAGCCUUUGUUUCUUCCUAGACCAUGAUGUAGGAUGGGCCCAACCUACCCACUAGUAGCAAAAUCAAGGGGUGGUGAAUCAAGGCAGUUCCCACAAGCGGCAAUUCUUGGAGCCCUAUUUCUUCUCCUAAGUUGCUUACACAACAGCAGUAAUGAAGGCCACCAGUUCCAACAACAACAUACAGUGGGACCACAAGGUGCAAAUCCAAGGAUUGAGUGAAGAGAGGGAGACCUGGCUCUGCCUUCUUUUGACAGUAUAAGUCCCUUGCAUUCCUACCCCUGGAAGAGGAGCGCUUCCAAGUGUCUUCUCUGUGCCGUCUACCCUGAACACACUUAUAAAUGAAUACCUGGUGCUGAUGGCAAGAAGCUCCUCCGGUGUCAAAGAAGAGUUAGAAAUGUCCACUUCUGAAAAUCUGGGGACUGGAAACAUUGAACAAAGCCAAGAACAGCUGGUGAGGCCAGAAGUGACAGACCGUGGUUCCUGGUCUUUGAGGGGAAUCCAAAGACAUCCAAGGGCAGAGCAAAAGCCUGCUGGAUCUGGUUCAGCUCUUACUUUGAGACAUAAUGGAGAACUUAGAGGUACACAUGGAGAAGACAUGAUCACAGAAGGG
rnacentral:sRNA from 1 species